AUGGCUAUAUCACCUGGAAACACCGGUUCUCGUACAAUCAUCGAGGCUAAGCAAUGUCGAGCCUGGUCUGUACUCAGAUGGGUGUCCGAUUGAGAAUGCCAAGUGCUGCAUG